UACGUAGGGUGCAAGCGUUAAUCGGAAUUACUGGGCGUAAAGCGUGCGCAGGCGGCUUUGCAAGACAGAUGUGAAAUCCCCGGGCUUAACCUGGGAACUGCAUUUGUGACUGCAUGGCUGGAGUGCGGCAGAGGGGGAUGGAAUUCCGCGUGUAGCAGUGAAAUGCGUAGAUAUGCGGAGGAACACCGAUGGCGAAGGCAAUCCCCUGGGCCUACACUGACGCUGAGGAGCGAAAGCGUGGGGAGCGAACAGG
rnacentral:rRNA from 1 species